ensembl:lncRNA
GUCCUGACCUUGUAGCAAACUGAGGCUGUGUCUCUGACUAAUGAAGCAAUCUAACAAGGUGAAUAGGAGAACGAAACUGAAGACCCAGUAUCACACUUAUAAAUUUGAAAAACAAUUUGAAAAUUUCUCCAGAAUAUUUCUUUUUCUUUUUAAUGCCUUUAGUUAAAUUUCUCUAAUUUUUAGUGCUUUAUUCUUUGCUAUCGAGAGGGUUUGUACGUUAUAUCUGUGAGUAGAUUUUUAUGGGGGCAAUGUCAUGUUUGUUUAGUGCCUACGAUCAGUUCCUGGUAUUUAAUGAACUCUGUAAUAAAUUACUGGAUAAGAGAAAAUUUUUAUUACAAAUAAAUGCUCUCUGAAUUAUUGUGGGAGUUUGUUCAUACCCCUCAGUCUGAAUUUUAAACACACACUAGAGCAUCUUAGGUGUUCACAAUUCUAAAUUUCAGUUUCCUCUAUUCAUACUUCUCAAUGUGUUUUAAAAUUAUUUUUUUUACAGGCAAAAAGCUUAGCUAACCAUCCUUCUCCUUUUGUGAGAUUCACAACUUUCUUCAAAUCUUUUGUUUUUAUUUUUAGAGGUAAUUUAACAUAUCAUAUAACUUGUAAGUAUCAGGCCAAAUCAUCCGUCUUGUUUCAGUUUAGAAAAAUGUUAGCAUCAAGUUCCCUUGCUGCCAAAGCAUAGAUUUCAUGCUGUUCCAUCAUCCUUCCUACCAAGGGGAGAAUAUGUGCUCCAUUGCCAACACUCCACCGGGACUCUUGACAAAGGAAUUUUAUUAUGCCCACUUUCAAAUGGAUGCAGGGAAACUCUUGCCAGGAGCAUGGCAGUGGCUACUGUUCAUACCCCAGUAUUGCUGUGUGGUCAGGUCAGGACUUUUUUCUUAAUACUUGCUGGGUCAGACUUUCUUGUGGGUUUGUAUGUGGGAGGUAAGGCAGACACUGUUUGUCAAGGAUAGGCCCUCUGCCUCUUGUGUAGGAAGAUUACUGCCACGUGAGGGUAGGGCAGGAGCCCAGGGGCUAUCCCAGAGCCUGAGCCUUUGGAUAAUUUGCUCCCUCUCCUGUGUGCAAAUAGGCUUGCACUAGAGCAAGAGAAUUGUAUUCCUGGAAUGGGUACCUCACUGCCCGUUUUGUACUCCGAGGUUGAAAGUCAAGCAUCUUUGGAUGUUGCAUUAAGUCAUGUAUUGUAACCAGAUUGCCAGAAGGAACCCAACCAUUGAAAAGAUUCCCCAACUUACCUGUGUAUUGAAGGCUACCAAUCUAAGGUAGCAGUGAAUGUUCCAUCAAAUCUAAUCAUCCUUUCUUGGGCAUACAUCUCAUUAACUAAUACCACUAAUUCAGUGUGAAUUGUAUGUUCCCAUCAAAACUGAAAAGAACCCACUGGUGGUAUUCUUCAGGGGAUGGUCAGAGUCCAAAUCCAUGCCAGAAAUACCCCAUACAUGUGGUGAAGACUACCAGAUUAAAGAUCUUCAAUUCCAACUUCAAAGGAGUAGCCAUGUUAAAUAUAGGUUUAAUACCUGCAAGUAGAUUUAAUACAGAGAUAAUUAUAUAUAAUAAUUAUUGCUGAGAGUUACUUUUUACAGAAUAGCUACUUAAUAAACUCAGCAGUUUAACUGGAUCAAACGUAGCAACUAUUUAGAUAUGAAGAUAAUCACCCUCCUGGUUGGAAAAUCAAAACGUUUAGUUUGGGAACUUAAGAAUCAUACGCCAGGAGUGAAAAGUAUCUCUUUAGCAUAGUAAUCAGAAAGUUGUCAUUGUCCUUGUGACCAGCGCUUCCAUCCCUAGGUGAUUUGAUUUUAAAAGGAUACUGAUAAUCAGAUAGACACUGCUUUACUAGAAGAAUCUUGAAAUUAAGAGGUGGCCGUGUUGAGGAUUUCUGCUGCUAGGUAGAGAAUAAUUUUCUCUGCCUUUGCAUUAUUCAUUUCACGUAAAUUUUGAUAGAGUUCAUCACUGUGACUAUUAUUUCAUUUACCACAUUUUAUGUGUUUAUAGCACAAUUUCCACAGUAGGAUCUUUUUUCUUUUUCCAUGUUAACAUAAAUAUGUGUAUUCCUGAUGGAAAAAGGAGCCUAUUUAGAAGGAAGUGAUUGACAUAUAUCACCCUAGCUCACUGCUUUCAGAACUUAAUGCAGGAUGACCAUCCUCUCCAAAAUGUCUAGAAGUAGGCUUUUAGGUCACAAUAUUUAUGUACCAUAUAAUUAUGCACCUGCAGCAAUUAACACCUACUGCAUACACCAGGCAGCAUACAGAUGAUUUUCUAUGCUCACAACUACGCUGUGAAAUGAGAAUGUAGAUUCCUCAGUUUUACAACUGAGAUUCUCAGGUUCACUGCUUUCCUCUUUAUACCACUAGUGUAAUGGAAGAGCCAGGAUUCUCAACCAGGGAUUCUCUGAUUGUAGAGCCCAUGUUCUUUUUACAGCCACAUACACUGCAAGGAAUUCAUCCUCUUUGAAAGAAAUCUGGGGCUUAGAAAAGACCAGAAUGAGGAUAUGCACAGUGGGCGUAUGUUCCACGGCACCCUGCAGGCCUGCAGACCUUGUAGUGGCCCAGCCUCGAGACUGAAGAAAGAGCUCAGAGACAGUGACAGAGACAUCAAUGGUUUAUUGGACAGAGGAUCUUCUUACAAGUCUGAAGCAAUGGGUCCUGGAGUAAUGCCUCAUCACGUACAGUGGACGACAGGCAGAACAGAACAGCAAUCUUUGCUACUCAAGGGAGAAGGAGGCUACACUUUAGAGGGAGUUUCCAUCAGUUGGAUCAUCAGUUACCAGGGAAACCAGCAGCUGGGUCACGUCCCUUACAGCCCCUCAGAUUAACAUCCAUCCCUAGGGCAGAUGUUUCCCUUUAGUAAACUAGCAGGUGGAGCCUUUCUGGCCUAAGGAUUAGAAACAUCACUGGCUGGAGCAGGGUGUAGGUGAAGCAGGGACUGGUGGAGCAGGGGAUGUACAGAGAACAAGAGAACAGUCAUCUUGAGUGGCCUGGCCAUACAGCCUGACUCUCACAGUAACCUGAAACUGCUCCAUGAGCACCUUUGGACCUCCCACAACUUGUGUGGUUUUGUAGACUCCUAAAACUAUAGCCCUGGAAACAGUUCCCACAAUUCCCAAGUGGUCAUCCAGCCUGUGUCUGGAUGCUGCCUGGAUUCUCUUGAGGCAGUGUGUCCUCUUCUUGGAAUAGCACCACCCAUAGAAAGAUCUUCAUAUUCAGCUAAACUCCAUCUCCUGAUGCUUCCAUGUAGAAUAAGGCUAACACACCUUCUGCAUAACAGUCCUUGAGAUACUUAAAGAGGAUUUCAAAUCCUCGCUUUUUUCCCCCAAGCAGUCCGAGUGCUUUUGGCUGAGCUCUAUAGGACAUGGUUAUCUCUCCCCUGUGAUUCUAUAUUCUCUUCCUUGAAUACUGUGCAGUCUUACAAGAUAGCACUAAAAAUCCAAGCACAAGACAUCCAAGAAUGAUUUAACCAGUACAUACUAGAGUGGCACCGCCACCUAGGAUCUUAGAGGUUGUACAUCUAAGGUUACAUUUGGCAGCCACAUGAAGUGUUGUGAUUUAAUGAUAGCUGAGCCCCCUUCACACUAUCCUCUCACCUCAACAAAUGCAAGUCUCAGUUUCCAGCAAAACUUGAGAAUUCUGAAAUAUUCUCAUAGUUUCAGGAAAGAACCCUAAGGAAGAGAGUCAAUGUGCACAAGUUUUUUUCCAAGAAAACAGGUGAGAAGAUGGAGGGGCAGUUUUUAGCAUAGCAGGUUUUUGUCUUUACUCUGACACUCUGCACUUGUGCCAGAGUCUUAGGAGGGCUAAGGUAUGGAGUGACUGGUCAGAAGUAAAUGUAUAGAAAUGGUAUUUCCCAAAUGUCUGUGAGAUUUUAAGAGACAGAAGGAAGUGCUUCUGACAGACUCAGGUUCCAGUGUGGAAGUCAUUGAUUUUGCUCAUCUCUUAGUUCUUACAGUACCCUGGAACAUAAUUCACCAUGGCCAGGAUGAAUCUGCUGUACACAGGAGUGAUCCUUCUAACCUGCCAUGUCCAUAGUUAUGUGAGAAUCUAGGAUGGAGCUGAAAGAACUGUAUCUUCCUGGAUCAUACCCAAAAGGUCUCUAAGUGCACUGAUGACAGGAAAAUCUUCAGUGGUUCCAGAGACAAGCUGCUGGAAAUCCUGCACAUUUAUUUUCUAGAAGGAAAUGAGCUGAUGAGGAAUAAUCCCUUCAGAGAUCCUCCCUUUAAAAAACCUUAAAGGACUCCAAAUUAAAGCAUAGCCAUUUCUGGGACCCUAAAGUGACUCAAAAAAAGGAAACAUCACUUACUUAAUGUUAGGUGAAUUUCAAAAGCCUUAAUAAGGGGAGAGCAAAGGUAGGGAGAAAGAUGGUGAAUAAAUUGUGAGAACCUACCAAGUAAAGAAAUAUCUUUUAAAUUCCACGCAUCAUGUUUUAUUUCACUUUGUAUUUCAAUUAAAAAAGGAAAAAUAUGCAUUUUAAAAAGAUAUAUUUUUUGCUAUUAAUAUUAGCACUUAAUGUCUGAGUACAGAUCCAUCAUUCAUUAGGUCUACAGUAGCCCAUAGCCCUAAUUUACAAAUUCAUAAUCACAAGUCAGAUCAACUCAAUUGCUCAAGGCUGUGUAUUUGCAAGUUAGAGUAUACACUGCAAAUUUCCUGUCUUUGGGCCGGUAUACUGAGCAAUGGUACUUUUUAAAAAGAAUUUGCUCAUAUCUUAGAUUUAACAGAGUUGAAAAUGUUUAACCAAUAUCACUCAUGUAAUAUAAAGUGUAAAUUUAAGCAGUGUUCUAGAAAAUUCAAGGCAAAGUAGUUUAAACCAUUUGGCUCUUCCUAGAGGUUCUGAUUUUUUUUUUUUAACCUGAAAAAGUAGGUAAUUACUCGAUAGCCUUAGCUCUAAAAUAUAUCUGACAGGUUAUUUUUAUUUGUUUGGUUUUCAGAAAUCAUAUCCAUGUUUUCUACUCUCUGUAGUCUUAGCAAAAUGAAUCAAAGCCACUCUGUAUCCAAAGGUAACACUAUGGUUGUCUUUUUUUUUUUUUUUUUUUUUAACAUUGCAGGCUUUACCUCAAGUGCUAUGCAGUAAAUUUACAGGGAAAGAAAUAUUUUAUUAAAUUAUAACUGAGAGGAGCGGAUUUUUUUUUAUAUAGCAAACAAAAAAUUCCUUCAUGAAAGGUUAUAAAACCGAUAUUAUUUACCAGAGAGACCUUUCCUGUCUCCCAGGUAAACACUUACAGUGUGUAGACUUGUGUAAAUACAUAUUUAGGAGUGGCUAAAUAUGGCGAGGUAUUUUUAAAGCCAUAUUUACAAAGCUGAAUACAUAUAUUGGCAUUUUGGAAUGUGUAAGCUGGGCAUGCUGCUCUGCUGUCUAUUCAGAAUUCUAGCAGGACGCUGCUAGAUACACCUCAGAUAUGGGGACCGAAUUUCAAAACAUUCAUCUUUAAUCAGAAUUACUAAAGACAGGUCCUUAAAUCAUUUCAAAAGGGUGAAAAUUUUCAAUUAAUGGAGUUCAAGACUUUCUCACCAGUUUGACUUGAGGAAAAUUGUUUCAGAAAUGCAGGCGUCAUUCAUGGAAAUAAAAUUUCUUUUCUGAA